GCUAAUCAGAGUUUAAAAUAUCCAGCAGCAGUGCGAUGUGGCCAUUUAAAAGCUUUAUUAGGUGUUGGAAGUUGGAACUUCAUAAGAAGAACCGAAACAUGAUUUUCAAUUAAUGAGCUCACCAUUGGGAUUGGGGACACAAGAGAAGUUGAGCGCAAGGAACUCCUAGGCAUCGAAGACCCUGAUGCUCCCACCAGGGAAGAGUUGGUUGUUGUUCUUGAAGAAAACAUGAGUUGUGAUACAUGGGACCGCUCAAGUGAGCAAUUGGUGUUUGAGUCUGAAAUUGG